ensembl:snoRNA Gm25009 predicted gene, 25009
CCUGUCUUCUAGAAGCAUUGCAAGUGUGGCUGCUAUGUCACAUAUUGACCACUAGGUGGCAGAGGAGAGACAAUGACUAUGCUCUGAUUAGUAGCCUAACAUU